GCUACGGCUCUCGGCAGAGUCGGCCUGCAGGUGAGCCCCGGAGCCGUAGUUCAGUGGGGAACCGUGCCGGUCACCGAGGCUGCCUGGGUGGAGAGUCCGCGGAGAAGCGGAAAGAGCCCGGGUCCAGGCCUCAGGAGAGGACUUACCAGCUCCCUGCCCCUGAGCAUCCUUUCAGAUAGCCAACCCGCGCUUCUCCCAAGCUGGAGAGUCGCGGCCGGGAGGAGGUUGGAAAAGAUAACGGAAAGGCAGAGGUCAGGGAGGACAAGCGAAUUGGUCAAGGUCAUAUGAUGGGCGACCUGUUGUUGGAACCCAGAAUCAAAUCCUGAUAUUUGCACUCGACCAACCUUGUGUAAAAGGGAGGCCUGCGGGUUGUCUGGGACGGGUCCCGGGAGACCAGGUCGCAACUCCAGAUUAGGCUGUUCUGCAUCGGUAAUGUCGGAGACCGCUGAACUCUGGAGGACAAUGCACUUGACCCGCAGGGAAAGGAAGACAUAGAAGAAAACGACCCAACCCCUGAAAGAUGCGGACUGUAGAAGUUUGCAAGCAAGACCCGGUUCCCUGAAGUGUGUUUAUUCAAGGUUUCAGGCCUGCCGAGAGGCACAGACAGCUGCUGCUGCAGCUCCCAGAAUCAAAACCUUCGCCAUUUACCGAUGGGACCCGGACAAGGCUGGAGAUAAACCUCGAAUGCAGACAUACAAGGUGGAUCUGAAUAAGUG
rnacentral:lncRNA from 1 species